rnacentral:lncRNA from 1 species
GGUCCACCUCCCCUCUAGACCUGGCACAGAGAUUGCCUGAUGGCUCUAGACUGCAGUCUGAUGAAAGAGAAGGAGGCCCCAAAGACCCAGGCUUUGAAGGGGAUUCAAGAAUUAAGAGAGGACUCCCUCUCUCUGUGCCUCAGUUUCAUCAUCUGUAAAAAAUAGAACAGUAUCUAUCACAAUGAGUUGGUAUGAAGAUGAAAUGAGUCAAUACAACUAAAGUGCUUAGAAGAGUGCGUGGCACAUUAACACUAUCAAGCUUACAGGCAUAAGGAGGGGGGUCACUGGCUUUCAUCUGAGCAAGUGCAGCCCGAAAAGUCCAAUCCAGGUGGAAGGAUCUCACAGACUGAGCUUCCUUGGAGUCUGUAAUGACAACACCUUGUAGCCUGUAACUAGCUCUAAGCCCAGAACAGAAGCUAAGACAUUUGCACCCUCAAAACACAUCCUUGAGCUCAGGGCUCAGAGACCCUACUGAGUCUGGGUAGGGAUGUGUGAAGCACCACAGUGGCCAUCC